GACGAACGCUGGCGGCGUGCUUAACACAUGCAAGUCGAACGGAAAGGCCCUGCUUUUGUGGGGUGCUCGAGUGGCGAACGGGUGAGUAACACGUGAGUAACCUGCCCUUGACUUUGGGAUAACUUCAGGAAACUGGGGCUAAUACCGGAUAGGAGCUCCUGCUGCAUGGUGGGGGUUGGAAAGUUUCGGCGGUUGGGGAUGGACUCGCGGCUUAUCAGCUUGUUGGUGGGGUAGUGGCUUACCAAGGCUUUGACGGGUAGCCGGCCUGAGAGGGUGACCGGCCACAUUGGGACUGAGAUACGGCCCAGACUCCUACUGGAGGCAGCAGUGGGGAAUAUUGCACAAUGGGCGGAAGCCUGCUGCAGCAACGCCGCGUGCGGGAUGACGGCCUUCGGGUUGUAAACCGCUUUCGCCUGUGACGAAGCGUGAGUGACGGUAAUGGGUAAAGAAGCACCGGCUAACUACGUG
rnacentral:rRNA from 1 species